AACGAACGCUGGCGGCAUGCCUAACACAUGCAAGUCGAACGAGACCUUCGGGUCUAGUGGCGCACGGGUGCGUAACGCGUGGGAACCUGCCCUUAGGUUCGGGAUAACUCCCCGACAGGGGUGCUAAUACCGGAUAAUUUCUUCGGACCAAAGAUUUAUCGCCUUUGGAUGGGCCGGCGUUGGAUUAGCUUGUUGGUAGGGUAAAAGCCUACCACGGCGACGAUCCAUAGCUGGUCUGAGAGGAUGAUCAGCCACACUGGGACUGAGACACGGCCCAGACUCCUACGGGAGGCAGCAGUGGGGAAUAUUGGACAAUGGGCGAAAGCCUGAUCCAGCAAUGCCGCGUGAGUGAUGAAGGCCUUAGGGUUGUAAAGCUCUUUUACCCGGGAUGAUAAUGACAGUACCGGGAGAAUAAGCUCCGGCUAACUCCGUG
rnacentral:rRNA from 1 species